rnacentral:rRNA from 1 species
UACGAAGGGGGCUAGCGUUGCUCGGAAUCACUGGGCGUAAAGCGCACGUAGGCGGCUUUUUAAGUCAGGGGUGAAAUCCUGGAGCUCAACUCCAGAACUGCCUUUGAUACUGAGAAGCUUGAGUCCGGGAGAGGUGAGUGGAACUGCGAGUGUAGAGGUGAAAUUCGUAGAUAUUCGCAAGAACACCAGUGGCGAAGGCGGCUCACUGGCCCGGUACUGACGCUGAGAUGCGAAGGCGUGGGGAGCAAACAGG